GGACUGAUGUUCCACCUCUACUGGGGUCAGAUCACAAAACAGAUUCUCCUUGGGCCAAAUCACGGAAGUCAUGACCCUCCCUGUGAAAUACUCUUAAACCUCCACCUCCACUCUAGAGUAAUUAGCUGUGGAGACUUUCUGUUUAACCACUUACCCAUUAAGUCAUAUUGCUUAAACAAGUUCCCCCAAAAUUCAAGGUCCUCAAAUCUGUUUCCUAUAACACCCUUUUUCACCACCCCCGUAAAACAAGAAUACAUCCUCCUUUAAAUGUUACUUAGUGUGGCUUUUAUUUUAGCUGAACAAUGUCACCGAAGAUGUAGAAAUAGAAAAUUAUGGUAUCACGUGGCAUAUUCUUGGCAAAAUUCUCCUUGACCUCUUUUCACUUUCCUACUAGAGGAUUUUCCAAGACCUGGUCUCCCCACCAUGUGCUCUGAGCCAGAGAUUGUUGUCUUGGUGGUGUUCAUAUUUCCCUGUUACUAUAGGUGCUGUGUUUUCCCCUUGUGUAUCCAUUUCGGGUGGGUGGGGAGCAUCAAUCUGCAAACAAGUAGAGCCAUCCAUAUUCUGCAUAUUUCGAUCUGGCCUUGAAGAGAUGACUACAGAUGGGGCUUCUUUCACUCUAACCUCUAUUAUAGCCCAAAUGCCUUCUGUUCUCUAGUGAGGCCAGCUUUGCUUUCUCUUUUUAAUCAGCCAUGUGUUUUUGCUAGGUUUUGUUUUGUUUUCACCACAGGCAGUUUCCCCCAUCCUUCCAAAAGCCUGAAGGAUUUUUCCCCUGACAGUUUUGUUUAUCUUACUUCAUCUCCCAAUACAAUCUCCCUUGUUGAAUUUCCCUUUUUUUUUUUUUUUUUUUUUUUUUUUAGCACACAGAAGCACAGAAACUUUGGAGUUAGACUGGCUUGGAGUCUAAUCCAAGUUCUAUCAUCUACUAUCUGUGCGACUUUGAGUAGCUAUGUCUGCUUCUGAUCCAAAAAUCAUGUAUUUCACAUAACCACAGAAUUUUUGCAAACAAUAAAGAAUAUACAAGACAAGCACUUGGCAAAUGACUAUUUCUUCAUCUCUCUUUGCUAGUAGCUAUAGUUUUACUGAACACAUAGGUGUGUCUUACUCUGUUGUUCAUUACAGGCAUAUGAAAUUUUCCCAGCCAACACUGGUUCUUUUCUCCAAGGUUCCAUGCUCACUCUGUUCAAGACUAUUCCUUAGUCAGUUUUCAGUGAAUGCCCUUGGCCUUUUAAAAAAUGUCUUGCAUGUUAUUGCACGAGUUAUCUAUUGCUGAGUAACAACAAACAUUUAUUAUCUCAUACAAUUUCUGGGAGCCAGGCAGGAAGGAGCAUCUUAGCUCAGCUCAGGGUCUCUCACAAGGUUGCAGUCAAGCAGUUGGCUAGAGCUGCAGUCUUCUCAAGGCUCUAUGGGGGCUGAAGAACACAAAACAUAGGAUCUGCCAUAGACCCUAUCUCAGCAAUCAAGCAAACUGUCUGAUUCCAGAUUGUAGAUCUCAUGAUGCUUAUUGAUUUAUUUACUGGAGGCUUAGCCUGGCACUUUCCGCCUAGGCAAGAUAUCCCUAAGUUAGGAUCAAAGCCAUCUUCUAAAUUGGGAACUUAACGGUUUGAAGGUCACAAAACACAAUAGGAUUUUUACCCUGUGAAAAUUUGCCCUGUCUCCACAUGGAAAUGACCAGGCAAAUGCAGUCAAGCCAGUAUUUUUCUUAUGGAGCCACUUUGUAUGCAUUCCAGGGGCUGAAAUAUGCCUAGUGGAUCCAGAGUGCCGCACUAUCUAAUUGAGCAAAGAUUGUCUGGGAUUGCAACAUUAUUUUGAGUAGAUUUUGACCGUUCCCAUAUCAACUAUGGGCAAACGGCAUUAACUAUGAUACUGGCUGCUUUCUGUUUGUUCCUCCAAACCCAUGCUUCAGUGUUUGGCGCUCUAGAAAAUGAGCUGCAUGGAAGUAAUCAGCAGGCUCCCUUUGUGUCCGGAAUUGGUGGGUUCUUGGUCUCACUGACUUCAAGAAUGAAGCCGCGGACCCUCGCGGUGAGUGUUACAGUUCUUAAAGGCGGCAUGUCCGGAGUUUGUUCCUUCUGAUGUUCCGAUGUGUUCGGAGUCUCUUCCUUCUGGUGGGGUUCGUGGUCUCGCUGGCUCAGGAGUGAAGCCAGGGACCUUCGCGGUGAGUGUUACAGCUCUUAAGGCGGCGAGUCUGGAGUUGUUCCUCCCGAUGUGUUUCGUGGUCUCUCUGGCUUCAGGAGUGAAGCUUCAGACCUUCGCGGUGAGUGUUACAGCUCAUAAAGGUAGUGUGGACCCAAAGAGUGAGCAGUAGCAAGAUUUAUUGCAAAGAGCGAAAGAACAAAGCUUCUACAGUGUGGAAGGGGACCCGAGCAGGUUGCCACUGCGGGCUUGGGCAGCCUGCUUUUAUUCUCUUAUCUGGCCCUACCCACAUCCUGCUGAUUGAUCCAUUUUACAGAGAGCCCAGUG
rnacentral:lncRNA from 1 species